rnacentral:lncRNA from 1 species
AUGAAAAACUGUGGGAGUUUCCUAGAUAUGAUUAUUUUGGGGACCAGAAGGGAAGAGGUGACUAGAAAAAGGAGUCCUACUGAAAGAUGCUAGAAGCACAAAAGGGGCAGUUUGAAGAUUGGCUGAGGGCAUUGUAGGUGGAACGAUAGGAGCAAUGUUUAUUACGUUGGUUGAGCAUUUUGAAUUCAACGAUCGGGGUUGAAUUUGACAAGUAUUUCCUAAGAAC